CCUACGGGUGGCAGCAGUGGGGAAUAUUGCACAAUGGGGGAAACCCUGAUGCAGCGACGCCGCGUGAGUGAAGAAGUAAUUCGUUACGUAAAGCUCUAUCAGCAGGGAAGAAAAUGACGGUACCUGAGUAAGAAGCCCCGUCUAACUACGUGCCAGCAGCCGCGGUAAUACGUAGGGGGCAAGCGUUAUCCGGAUUUACUGGGUGGAAAGGGUUCGUAGACGGUGGGCCAAGUCUGGAGUGAAAUGCUGGAGCUUAACUGGGGAAAUGCUUUGGAAACUGGGGAACUAGAGUGCGGGAGGGGUAAGCGGAAUGCCUAGUGUAGCGGUGAAAUGCGUAGAGAUUAGGAGGAACACCGGUGGCGAAGGCGGCUUACUGGACCGUAACUGACGUUGAGGCUCGAAAGCGUGGGGAGCAAACAGGAUUAGAUACCCGAGUAGUC
rnacentral:rRNA from 1 species